UGCGAGCGUGGCGGAAUUGGCAGACGCGCAGGACUUAGGAUCCUGUGGCCGCAAGGCCGUGAGGGUUCGACUCCCUCCGCUCGCAUUCA
rnacentral:tRNA from 1 species